AUGAUUAGACUUGGCGCUUGCCAAGCUCCCGGAGAACGGCGUCUCGCUUCCUGCGCUCCCGGCUGCCGCUGCUGGGGUUGUUCGUGCUGGAYGGGCUCCCCGGGGGCUGCGGCUGCGGCGUGUCCUCGCGCUGCCCGGCACGUGGCUGGCUGCGUGCCCGCUGCCAGCAGAGACCUCGGUGCCCGCGGCACCUGCAGCUCGGGCUGCGGUCGGGGAUCCUCCGCAGGCUGCCUCUCCCCGGGGGACAAAGGUGGCUGCUGUCCUUAUUGCUCUGCACGAUCGUUAUCUUGCGACGGUGGCGGUUUGCCCUGGAGCGGGGAAAGGAGGCGUGUGGGACGGGAGCCCGGCCGCAGCCGCUCGCGGUGCGGAGAGCCCGUGGGAAGAGGCAGCCCUUUCCUGCGGCGGUGCGGCUUGUGUAAGCCGCCGGGCUGCAAGCCGGCUCACCUGGUCGGUGUUCGAGGCUCGAACACCUAUUCCUGCAAGGAAGCAACGCAGCCGUGGUCCUUAUCUCCAGAGCCGGGGCCUGGCCGAGUGGGAAGGUGCCGUGGCCGGUGGGGCGGAGCGGAGCGGGGGUCGGGGACGCUGGGGAGCCGGUUUCACGGCGGGGCCGGGAGCGUUGUGCCUGGCCGCGUGGCAGCGAGCGGGACGCGAGGUGCUGGGGACAGGCAGGCCGACACCGGACACCAGGAUGCAAUUGCCAGGACGGACAGACGGACGGGGCGAUGCCCAGCGUGCGGGAGCAGCAGGGGCAGGGCGGAGGCUCCGAGGAGGGACGUGCCGCCGCUCAGACGCAGCCGGGGCGGUGGGCGAGCGCUGGUGCAGCGGAUCCCGGGCAGCCCGACCGGCUCGUGCCCUUCCCGGGAGGGACACGGCCGCGGGGCAAAGCGCGGGCUGUGCUCCGGGCCCCACGGUCCGGCGGGGGCGAGCAGGGCGCUCUGCCCUUCCCCAGCCCGGCGGAGCAGGCGUGCCCGCAGCGCGGAGGAUCCCGCUCCACAGCACGGGCUGUAG
rnacentral:lncRNA from 1 species